CUGAGCUCUCUGUCUCUCUCUCUCCCCUUCUCUGGAAAUAACCAACAAAACCUUGGGAUUAUGUGUUGCGGGGAGAGAUGUGUUUUCAUCUGAGCUGGGGCUCAGGUUACAGCUGCCAGCUGCAGUCCCUGAACUUUCUCCGGCAGCCCUCUCCACUCUUAAGGCGAAGAAACAAGCUUCCAAGGGAGGAAACGUGGCCAGGAAACUGGGAGGCCCCAUGUUCUCUUUCUUUGCUUGAUUUAUUUUUCCUAAAAAAAAAAAGCCACGCGGCAAAAUAAUCCAUAUGGUUACAGAUAUCCACCUGAAGAUGGCGACAUGGCAGGACAACUGGUAAACCCAAGCUUAAGAAACAGCAUGAAGAGAAGCAGAUCACAGUCUCUCCCGGGCUUGAAAGAUAUCAUGUGGAGGGGAAAAUCACAUAUAUUUGGGGGUGGAGGAAAAGGGACCCUCCUAUACUGUUGGUGGGAAUGCAAAUUGGUACAGCCUCUGUGAAUAACAAUAUGGAGUUUCCUUUAAAAAACGAAAACUAGAGCUAACAUAUGACCCUGCAGCCCUACUCUCGGGCAUGCCUCCGGAGAACACUCUAAUUCGGAAAGACACGUGAACCCAGUGUCCAUGGCGGCGCUGUUUACAAUAGCCAAGAUGUGGAAAUGACUUGGAAGGUGAAUGAAUGGAUCAAGGAGAUGUGGUGUGUACAAUGGACUCGUGCUCAGCCACGAGAAAGAAUGAGAGAACGCCAUUUGCAGCGACACGGAUUGAACUCGAGAUUAUCGUAUGAAGCGAAGCACGUCUAGGACCAGAUCACAUCCUUGGGAGUCAGCCCCCGUCGGUUUGAUUCGGCCUGGGGAGGGGGGACAGUUCCUCCUUGAAGUCUGAGCCUGGGGCACCCUCCCAGCCUAUCUGCAGGCCAAGACCCACAGCCGACCCUAGGGACCCCUGCAAGCAGGAAUACUGGCAUCAGUGCUGUUCGAGAGAACUUUCUGUGGUGAUGAAAUCGUCCUGUACCUGCCUGGUAUGGUAGCAACAGGUCACGUGUAGCUUUGAGCCGCUGUCAUGUGGCUGAAAUGAAUGUUCAAUUUUACUGAAUUUUAAUUACAUCUUAAUUUCAGUCUCCCCCGUCCCCGUGGCCAUUGGUUACCCUAUUGAACAGAGCAGGUCUAGAGCUCCAUAAAGGACUUUGGCUUUGACCUUACUAUAGGAAGGGUUUGGGGAAGGACAUGAUUGACUGGGAUUUGACUUCUUAGUCAAACCAAGUCAUAAGCCAGGCCAGAGUCAAGCAGAGAGGAAACAGACUCCACCUCUUUAAUAAAAAAAAAAUUAUUUGACUGCCCUGGGUCUUAGCUGUAGCAACAUUAUUCUGCCGCAUGGGAACUCUUAGUUGCAGCAUGUGGUGUCUAGCUCCCUGAUCAGGGAUCGAACACUGGGUCCCCUGCUUGUGGAGCAUGGAGUCUUAGCCACUGGACCACCACGUAAACCCCUGAACUUCCCUUCUUGAUGGGGGAAGUACCAGGCACACAUGGGGAGGGGAAGAAUUGACACUGGCCGUUUGGGAGACGAGUCUCUGCAGUGCGCCCUCUGGCGGCGGAUGGCAGAGACGCGCUCAGACUCAGUGGGUCCCGCUUCAGAGCAACCUUCCUGACCUGAGUGAGCACCCGCCAAGGGCCGGUAAUAAACUGGGGGGGAAACACUGGCUUGAAUAGGAAACUGUAGCGAGAAGAGUUCUGACUGCAGGUCACAGCUGUAAGGUCAUUCUAAUAAGAAUUUGGGCCAGAACCUCCAGGGAGCCGGGGUCACUUCUUCAACAUUUUUUAUUUUUCUUCAUUGACAGCU
ensembl:lncRNA